GGCGGCGGCGGCGGUCCAAGUCCCUUGGAACAGGGCGCCAUUGAGGGUGAGAGCCCCGUGGGACCGGCGCCUGAGCUGUGAGGCCCUUCUGACGAGUCGAGUUGUUUGGGAAUGCAGCUCCAAGCGGGUGGUAAAUUCCAUUUAAGGCUAAAUACUGGCGAGAGACCGAUAGCGAACAAGUACUGUGAAGGAAAGAUGAAAAGCACUUUGAAAAGAGAGUGAAACAGCACGUGAAAUUGUUGAAAGGGAAGGGUAUUGCGCCCGACAUGGAGCGUGCGCACCGCUGCCCCCCGUGGGCGGCGCUCUGGGCGCGCUCUGGGCCAGCAUCGGUUUCUGCCGCGGGAGAGGGGCGCGGGGCAUGUAGCUCUUCGGAGUGUUAUAGCCCCGCGCCUGCGCCGCGAGCGGGGACCGAGGUCUGCGACGCAGGUCACGGAUGCUG
rnacentral:rRNA from 1 species